GAUGAACGCUAGCGGCAGGCCUAAUACAUGCAAGUCGAACGGUGUCUUCGGACAUAGUGGCGCACGGGUGCGUAACACGUAUGCAACCUACCUUACAUUGGGGGAUAGCCUUUCGAAAGGGAGAUUAAUACCGCAUAAGACAGUAACUGGGCAUCCAGUAGCUGUUAAAGAUUUAUCGAUGUAAGAUGGGCAUGCGACCAAUUAGUUAGUUGGCGAGGUAACGGCUCACCAAGACUAUGAUUGGUAGGGGAACUGAGAGGUCAAUCCCCCACACUGGCACUGAGAUACGGGCCAGACUCCUACGGGAGGCAGCAGUAGGGAAUAUUGGGCAAUGGACGCAAGUCUGACCCAGCCAUGCCGCGUGCAGGAUGAAGGCGUUAUGCGUCGUAAACUGCUUUUAUACAGGAAGAAACGACUCUUGCGAGAGGCAUUGACGGUACUGUAUGAAUAAACACCGGCUAACUCCGUGCCAGCAGCCGCGGUAAUACGGAGGGUGCAAGCGUUGUCCGGAUUUAUUGGGUUUAAAGGGUGCGCAGGUGGUUUAUUAAGUCAGUGGUGAAAGACGGUCGCUCAACGAUUGCAGUGCCAUUGAAACUAGUAGACUUGAGUAAAGUAGAGGUGGGCGGAAUUGAUAGUGUAGCGGUGAAAUGCAUAGAUAUUAUCAAGAACUCCAAUUGCGUAGGCAGCUCACUUGGCUUUUACUGACACUCAUGCACGAAAGUGUGGGUAUCAAACAGGAUUAGAUACCCUGGUAGUCCACACUGUAAACGAUGAUAACUAGGUGUCGGCCGAAUCUGGUCGGUGCCACAGCGAAAGCGUUAAGUUAUCCACCUGGGGAGUACGCCGGCAACGGUG
rnacentral:rRNA from 1 species